UAUGUGUGCCUUCGCUGGAGCGUACUACGUUGUUCCGCGCUCCGCCCGUGAGGAGUGACGUGGCACCGCGUAUUCUACCGCAGUGCAUUCGUCGCUGCGUUCGUGCCUGUUAUGUGCGCUGCAACCUCGCCUUUGAAAGGACGACAACCUUGCUUUUUAAUUACAAGUUUAAUGUUUGCUUAAGACGAUGGACACAUUGCAAAUGGCGGCAGGAGUGGAUCGGCUACAUCGGUGAAGCGACGAUUUAUAUUACAAGCGAGGCUAAUUGUAUUCUUUCGUUAUAGGUGAAUGUGGGACUGUAUCGACUGCAAGGACGUGAGUUACAAAAAGCUGUAAUAUUCUAGCAUUAACGUUUGAACAAUACCAGCGUGAUGUUCACUUCGGUUUCUUUACAGGUAGUGUCCUGUCUCAACGGUCACGCAUAUGCGUGCAAAACUGCAACUGCUUCUCACAUCGAAGAGGGGUCUGGUGCACAUGCUCGGACAAUUAUUCGUCGGCCAUUUCGUUUGAGGAACUGUCGUGUUCGUCACUAAGGAUGGUCUUGGUUGAGCUUUGCAGUGCCAGCCUGGUGCAUCGGAGGGGUUGUGUCCAUGCAACGUGUGCUACAUAUGUGUGUGUUGGGAUUAGUAAACCGUGUAUGCUUUCCAUUCGGCCAACGAUGAUGUACUGGAUGAAAUUUAAAGGUGCAUUUCCCAAAUGCUGCAGUGGCUGUGCAUUUGGUGCUCGUGGAAAUUUCUUGUGUCCUGAGUAA